rnacentral:sRNA from 1 species
GUCCGAAAUGUGGUCCCCUGGGGGGACAGAGGACAUGGGCUCACUGCGGGAGCCGGAGUUGGGUCCUCAUCUCCCUGGCUUGGAUUCCUGACCAGGCUGAAAGCUGGGUCCCCAGCCACCUUUCUCUUCCUCCACCAGGUUCCAGGGGGGUCCCUCUGUGGGGUACCUCCUGGGUGGUCGCCCGCAGGCUGCCCUCCGCCUGUGCCCAGGCCAGAGCCAGGCACUGACACCAGCAGGGACGGGCCUGGGGAGGGACACCCAGUGCCACAGCUCCACCCGCGCCCCACAGGUGGCAGCCGGGGGUGUCUGAGGAAACUCCCCACCCCGCACCACUGGAGAAUGUUCCCAGGACCUCGCCUGCUGCCUGAAAAGCCCACUCUCGUUCUGGUGCUUAUUUUCCCUUCCUUUUUAGGCCAUGAUUUCUGGAGAGCUUGACAUUCUCAAAGACUGGUGCUAUGAAGCUACUUACAGCCAGCUGGCCCACCCCAUCCAGCAGGCCAAGGCACUGGGUCUCCAGUUCCAUUCUCGCAUCCUAGAUAUUGACAACGUCGACCUGGCCAUGGGCAAGAUGAUGGAGCAGGGGCCAGUGCUGAUCAUCACCUUCCAGGCACAGCUGGUGAUGGUGGUCAGGAACCCCAAAGGCGAGGUGGUGGAGGGCGACCCGGACAAGGUGCUGCGGAUGCUGUACGUGUGGGCGCUCUGCCGAGACCAGGACGAGCUCAACCCCUACGUGGCCUGGCGGCUCCUGGACAUCUCGGCCUCCAGCACCGAGCAGAUUCUCUGAGUGUGGUGCCGGAGCCAGGGAGCCCCGGCCUGGGUCAUCAGGCACAGAGGCACCGCAACACCACCUGCGGCAACUCCAGACCUCUGGGAACAAGACUGCGGGCUCUGUCCCCAGCUCUGCCAGGACGGCUGCAAGACC